rnacentral:rRNA from 1 species
GAUGAACGCUGGCGGCGUGCUUAACACAUGCAAGUCGAACGAAGCACUUUGGACAGAUUCCUCGGAUGAAGUCCUUGGUGACUGAGUGGCGGACGGGUGAGUAACGCGUGGGUAACCUGCCUCAUACAGGGGGAUAACAGUUAGAAAUGGCGGCUAUUACGCCAUAAGCGCACGGUACUGAAGGUUACAGUGUGAAAAACUCCGGUGGUAUGAGAUGGACCCGCGUUGGAUUAGCUAGUCGGCAGGGUAACGGCCUACCAAGGCGACGAUCCAUAGCCGGCCUGAGAGGGUGGACGGCCACAUUGGGACUGAGACACGGCCCAGACUCCUACGGGAGGCAGCAGUGGGGAAUAUUGCACAAUGGGGGAAACCCUGAUGCAGCGACGCCGCGUGAGCGAAGAAGUAUUUCGGUAUGUAAAGCUCUAUCAGCAGGGAAGAAAAUGACGGUACCUGACUAAGAAGCCCCGGCUAACUACGUGCCAGCCGCCGCCGUAA